AGUCGUAACAAGGUUUCCGUAGGUGAACCUGCGGAAGGAUCAUUGCACACACAAAAAACUGCAAACAACCCCCUUUUGAGAACUAUUAUCUUAUUUGUACAAACCACUUUUGUUGAGUGGUCGGACUUGCUUUGUGUCUUUGUUGUUGCAGAAAUGCACAGCCAGGGCGCACAGGGCAAGCUCGAACACAACACAACAUUUGCACAAUGAUUUACACAUGUUUCUUGACUGAAUUUGUAUCGAGACCCUAUGAAAUAUGCCUCUCUCUUCUUCCUCUUCUUGAGUGAGUGAGAGAGAGGGUUUCAUGAGUUGAGAUUUUAUGAAUAAUAAAAUACAACUCUCAGCAACGGAUAUCUUGGCUCUU
rnacentral:misc_RNA from 1 species